GGGAGGAUAUGCAUUAGACAAUAUACGGAUAGAUAUGAUUUUCCUCCUUUUCUCUGUUUUACCUGCUUUACAGCUCUUUUCGUGUGGUUUGGUUGAGGAGGGUUCUGUACAAGGUAAAGCAUUACCCGAAGGUUCUGCAUUAAAUGGUUCUGAUAUGACGAGUGGAAUUGUUGAUGAAGAAAAUAAAUUCUCUGGUGAAAAAUCAAAAGUUAGUACUUUGAG
rnacentral:misc_RNA from 1 species